rnacentral:rRNA from 1 species
AGGGUUUGAUUCUGGCUCAGGACGAACGCUGGCGGCGUGCUUAACACAUGCAAGUCGUACGAGACGAUUGAAAGCUUGCUUUUGAAAGUCGAGUGGCAAACGGGUGAGUAACGCGUAGACAACCUGCCGUAAAGAUGGGGACAACAGUCCGAAAGGACUGCUAAUACCGAAUGUUGUGGAACUUCCGCAUGGGAGCUCCACUAAAGAUGGCCUCUGCUUGUAAGCCAUCGCUUUACGAUGGGUCUGCGUCUGAUUAGCUAGUUGGUGGGGUAACGGCCUACCAAGGCGACGAUCAGUAGCCGGUCUGAGAGGAUGAACGGCCACAUUGGAACUGAGACACGGUCCAG